rnacentral:rRNA from 1 species
AACUUUCAACAACGGAUCUCUUGGCUCUAGCAUCGAUGAAGAACGC